UAUAUACUAUUCAAAAAAAAGAAACGCAUAACCAAGAAAUCUGCUUCGUAAAUGUUGUAUUUUCCAACACGUAUAACUCGUCCACACAUAGAGUUUAGUACAUGAAUUUUACAUCAUCAGUUUUAAAAUGA